AUGGCGACCGGCGCACGGGCGAGUAACGCGUAUGCAACCUGCCCGAUACCGGGGUAUAGCCCAUGGAAACGUGGAUUAACACCCCAUAGUACUUUUAUCCUGCCUGGGAUGGGAGUUAAAUGUUCAAGGUAUCGGAUGGGCAUGCGUCCUAUUAGUUAGUUGGCGGGGUAACAGCCCACCAAGACGAUGAUAGGUAGGGGUUCUGAGAGGAAGGUCCCCCACAUUGGAACUGAGACACGGUCCAA
rnacentral:rRNA from 1 species